GUUGUGCCGAGCAGCAACCUAAUCCACAGAAGGGUUAAUGCUGAGCAGCAAUUAUGCAAAUGAGAAAUUGGUAACUGCUUUGGGGUCAAAGGCCGGUUACAGCCUAUCAGAUCUAAAGGAGGGGUAUUUAGGCCCAGUUCUCAUCCUGCUCAGUGCCCUGUCGUGGUUUCCCUUGUGGUUGUCAGAGAGCGCGUUAUUGAUUCUGGUAAUUCUGGUUAUUUGACUUUGGCAAUGUUUUUGACUUCCCUGUUUUCUGGCAUCCCUGACUCCUGACUUUUCUUUAUCGUUGUGUCUCUUUCUGUUUCCCUUGACCUCGGCUAUUCCUGACUAUUCUUUGGUACGUUAGUCCGGCCAUUCUAAGGUCCGGUAUACGUUACCUAUCAGUCCUCUGUGUUAUACAAUUCUACGUGCUGGAUCAUUCUGUAAUCCUGACAAUAGGUCUGCUCCACUCGGAAAAUCCACUGUGUGAUUCUCCUUCCUUCUGUUUCCCUUUUCCCUGCCUCUCUUUUAAUGAGUUGGUAAAAGCCUAGUUUUUUCCUUUUCUUUCUUUCCUCCCCUUUUAUAUCUUUUUGACAAUCUGAAUUUAUAAGUAUUUUUUGGUGAGCACAGCAGUUGUAGGAUACAAAGGGUUUACAGGCAUGAAAGAACAAACAUAAUGUGAAGUUAUUGUUCAGAGCUAAAUUACAGGAUUGAUAUGGGAGGUCUUCUGGCUUCGUGUCAGUUGUGACCGUGGCACGCAGUCGCACUUGGUAACAUGUGUGGGGUUAUGUGUGCCCAACUAGAGGAGUUGCGAGAAGUCAAUAUAUCUGUUUCUCAGAUGUCAGGCUGUUGGGGGAGAGGGCUAUCCUGGUAAUUCUCUCUACCCUCAGACGAUAAGUCCCUUGUAUGUGUUAAGACCCCAACCACUAGGGAUGUGUAUGGACAAAAAAUUUGGUUCAGUUUGGAAAUUCGGGUAAGUAAAAAAAAUGUGUCUGCUUAGGCAAUUCGUAC